rnacentral:rRNA from 1 species
GGGCCCGCACAAGCGGUGGAUGAUGUGGAUUAAUUCGAUGCAACGCGAAGAACCUUACCUGCUCUUGACAUGUCAGGAACUUGCCAGAGAUGGCUUGGUGCCCGAAAGGGAACCUGAACACAGGUGCUGCAUGGCUGUCGUCAGCUCGUGUCGUGAGAUGUUGGGUUAAGUCCCGCAACGAGCGCAACCCUUGUCAUUAGUUGCUACGAAAGGGCACUCUAAUGAGACUGCCGGUGACAAACCGGAGGAAGGUGGGGAUGACGUCAAGUCCUCAUGGCCCUUAUGAGCAGGGCUUCACACGUCAUACAAUGGUCGGUACAGAGGGUUGCCAACCCGCGAGGGGGAGCCAAUCCCACAAAACCGAUCGUAGUCCGGAUUGUAGUCUGCAACUCGACUACAUGAAGUCGGAAUCGCUAGUAAUCGCAGGUCAGCAUACUGCGGUGAAUACGUUCCCGGGCCUUGUACACACCGCCCGUCACACCAUGGGAGUAGGUUGCUCCAGAAGUAGGUAGCCUAACCGUAAGGAGGGCGCUUACCACGGAGUGAUCCAUGACUGGGGUGAAGUCGUAACAAGGUAGCCGUAUCGGAAGGUGCGGCU